rnacentral:lncRNA from 1 species
AUUAUGGGUUAGGUGAGGAACCUCGCCCUCUUCUAUUACGGUACGCGCGAUGGGUAUUCCCUGAUGCCAUGAACUUACACGUUUCACACACGGGACCAGACGCUUGCUUUAGUUGACGCAUGAAGACCGGUCCGGUCUUUUGCGGAGAAAAGUGGUUAAAAGCUGACUUGUGGGCCGAGAAACUGUGGCACCCUAAUGAGCUAGGGCUAGACGCUUCGACCACCACGCCAAGUGAUUCUGAAGAUCUCUAAUUCUGUCAAGGCGAGAGCGCUCCAACACGUGUUCAUCGGCUGUUGCUUUUUAAAGAGAAGGCAAGGAGGAAGUCUUGCUUUUCUUGUACUUUUUUUCCUAGAAGCAGCAUUAAAGAUUUACUCCUUAUGUUGAGGAAGCGGAAAGCCUCUUCACUUUAAAAGUGUUUAUGAUCGGGCCUGGCGCGGUGACUCACCGCGCCCGGCCUGCUACACCUUUUAAAAUUCACAGCAAUGAUAAAUGUAUUAGACUCAUUGCCAGGAUAAAGAUUUAAUCUAUUUUUCUAGUAGUGCCGUCCUAUGUGGUUCUGUAGUUGCUUAUUCCAACUGGUAUAUUUCCAUAGGAUGGGGUUGAAUAAGAAAAACUUGCAAACUUUCAGAAACAGUAAGUUAUUUUUAUAUUUUUGAAGGCUUGCUGAGUAACGCUUCUCUUGGUAGCACUACCUUAUCUACCCUUCAGAGACUGUUAUUUCUUAGGAGUGGCCCUGGGCAAUUAAAAGCAAAAACUUCUGGCCGGGCAUAGUGGCUCAUGCCUGUAAUCCCAGCACUUUGGGAGGCCGAGGCGGGCAGAUUACGAGGUCAGGAGAUCGAGACCAUCCUGGCUAACACGGUGAAACCCAGUCUCUACUAAAAAUAGAAUAAAUUAACCGGGCGUGGUGGCGGGUGCCUAUACUCCCAGCUACUCCGGAGGCUGAGGCAGAAGAAUGGCGUGAACCCGGGAGGCGGAGGUUGCAGUGAGCGGAGAUCGCGCCCCUGCACUCCAGCCUGGGCGACAGAGCGAGACUGUCUUAAAAAAACAAACAACAACAACAAAAAAACCCCAAAAACUUCUUUACUCAGAAGUACCCUCCUUUGCAUUGGAGAUACAUGUAAAGAGUUGCUUAGCAGUUGAAUAACUCAAAAUUGCAUUUUGGAAGCUUGCUAAGUGACAAGACCUUCUUAAAUGUUAAAGGCAGUUUUUCAGGCAAAAGAAAAAUGACACCAUAUGGAUCUAUCCAACGAAAUAGCAUGGGAAAAGAUUAAGUAUAAUAGUGUAUAUGUAAACUUUUUAAUUUAAAACUUUUUUUAAAAACAGAUAACUGUUUAAACAAAAAUAACAUACUGUGAGAUUUAUAACAUAAAAGCAAAAUUUAUGAACUAUAAUAUAAAGACUGGAAGAAAAAAAUGGAAACAUUAUUGUAAGGUUCCUAUUCUAUACACAAAGUGGUAUAAUAUCACUGAAGGUAGACUAGUAAAUUAAAGAUGUAUAUAAUAGCGGGGCAGUUCCAAGAUGGCCGAAUAGGAACAGCUCCAGUCUACAGCUCCCAGUGUGAGUGACACAGAAGACAGGUGAGUUCUGCAUUUCCAACUGAGCUUUGAAGAGAGUAGUGGUUCUCCCAGCAUGGAGUCUGAGAUCUGAGAACGGACAGACUGCCUACUCAAGUGGGUCCCUGACCCCCGAGUAGCCUAACUCGGAGGCAUCCCCCAGUAGGGGCAGACUGACACCCCACACAGCCGGGUACCCCUCUGAGACGAAGCUUCCAGAGGAACAAUCAGGCAGCAACAUUUGCUGUUUAGCAAUAUUCAUGGUUCUGCAGCCUCCGCUGCUGAUACCUAGGCAAACAGGGUCUGGAGUGGACCUCCAGCAAACUCCAACAGACCUGCAGCUGAGGGUCCUGACUGUUAGAAGGAAAACUAACAAACAGGACAUUUGCACCAAAACCCCACCUGUACAUCACCAUCAUCAAAGACCAAAGGUAGAUAAAACCACAAAGAUGGGGAAAAACACAGCAGAAAAGCUGAAAAUUCUAAAAAUCAGAGCGCGUCUCCCCCUCCGAAGGAACGCAGCUCCUCACCAGCAACAGAACAAAGCUGGAUGGAGAAUGACUUUGAUGAGUUGGGAGAAGAAGGCUUCAGACGAUCAAACUUCUCCAAGCUAAAGGAGGAAGUUCAAACCCACGCAAAGAAGUAAAAAACCUUGAAAAAAGAUUAGAUGAAUGGCUAACUAGAAUAACCAGUGUAGAGAAGUCCUUAAGUGACCUGAUGGAGCUGAAAACCACAGCACAAGAACUAUGUGACGAAUGCACAAGCUUCAGUAGCCGAUUCGAUCAACUGGAAGAAAGGGUAUCAGUAAUGGAAGAUCACAUGAAUGAAAUGAAUCAAGAAGUUUAGAGAAAAGAGUAAAAAUAAAUGACAAAGCCUCGAAGAAAUAUGGGACUAUGUGAAAAGACCAAAUCUACGUCUGAUUGGUGUACCUGAAAGUGAUGGGGAGAAUGGAAUGGAGCCACGUUGGAAAACACUCUAAAGGAUAUUAUCCAGGAGAACUUCCCCAACCUAGCAAGGCAGGCCAACAUUCAAAUUCAGGAAAUACACAGAACGCCACAAAGAUACUCCUCAAGAAGAGCAACUCCAAGACACAUAAUUGUCAGAUUCACCAAAGUUGAAAUGAAGGAAAAAAUAUUAAGGGCAGCCAGAGAGAAAGGUCGGGUUACUCACAAAGGGAAGCCCAUCAGACUAACAGCUGAGCUCUCGGCAGAAACUCUACAAGCCAGAAGAGAGUGGGGGCCAAUAUUCAACAUUCUCAAAGAAAAGAAUUUUCAACCCAGAAUUUCAUAUGCAGCCAAACUAAGCUUCAUAAGCAAAGGAGAAAUAAAAUCCUUUACAGACAAGCAAAUGCUGAGAGAUUUUGUCACCACCAGGCCUGCCCUACAAGAGCUCCUGAAGGAAGCACUAAACAUGGAAAGGAACAAGCAGUACCAGCCACUGCAAAAACAUGCCAAAUUGUAAAGACCAUUGAUGCUAGGAAGAAACUGCAUCAAGUAAUGAGCAAAAUAACCAGCUAACAUCAUAAUGACAGGAUCAAAUUCACACAUAACAAUAUUAACCUUAAAUGUAAAUGGGCUAAAUGCUCCAAUUAAAAGACACAGACUGGCAAGUUGGAUAAAGAGUCAAGACCCAUCAGUGUGCUGUAUUCAGGAGACCCAUCUCAUGUGCAGAGACACACAUAGGCUCAAAAUAAAGGCAUGGAGGAAGAUCUGCCAAGCAAAUGGAAAACAAAAAAAGGCAGGGGUUGCAAUCCUAGUCUCUGAUAAAACAGACUUUAAACCAACAAAGAUCAAAAGAGACAAAGAAGGCCAUUACAUAAUGGUAAAGGGAUCAAUUCAACAAGAAGAGCUAACUAUCCUAAAUAUAUAUGCACCCAAUACAGGAGCACCCAGAUUCAUAAAGCAAGUCCUUAGAGACCUAGAAAGAGACUUAGACUCCCACAUAAUAAUAACGGGAGCCUUUAACACCCCACUGUCAACAUUAGACAGAUCAAUGAGACAGGAAGUUAACAAGGAUAUCCAGGAAUUGAACUCAGCUCUGCACCAAGUGGACCUAAUAGACAUCUACAGAACUGUCCACCCCAAAUUAACAAAAUAUACAUUCUUCUCAGCACAUCACACUUAUUCCAAAAUUGAUCACAUAGUUGGAAGUAAAGCACUCCUCAGCAAAUGUAAAAGAACAGAAAUUAUAACAAACUGUCUGUCAGACAACAGUGCAAUCAAACUAGAACGCAGGAUUAAGAAACUCACUCAAAACCGCUCAACUACAUGGAAACUGAACAACCUGCUCCUGAAUGACUACUGGGUACAUAGCAAAAUGAAGGCAGAAAUAAAGAUGUUCUUUGAAACCAAUGAGAACAAAGACACAACAUACCAGAAUCUCUGGGACACAUUUAAAGCAGUGUGUAGAGGGAAAUUUGUAGCACUAAAUGCCCACAAGAGAAAGCAGGAAAGGUCUAAAAUUGACACCCUAACAUCACAAUUGACAGAACUAGAGAAGCAAGAGCAAACACAUUGAAAAGCUAACAGAAGGCAAGAAAUAACUAAGAUCAGAGCAGAACUGAAGGAGAUACAGACACAAAAAAAUCCUUCAAAAAAAUCAAUGAAUCCAGGAGCUGUUUUUUUGAAAAGAUCAACAAAAUUGAUAGACUGCAAGCAAGACUAAUAAGAAGAGAGAGAAGAAUCAAAUAGACGCAAUAAAAAAUGAUAAGGGGGAUAUCACCACCAAUCCCACAGAAAUACAAACUACCAUCAGAGAAUACUAUAAACACCUUUAUGAAAAUAAACUAGAAAAUCUAGAAGAAAUGGAUACAUUCCUGGACACAUACACCCUCCCAAGACUAAACCAGGAAGAAGUCGAAUCCCUGAAUAGAC